rnacentral:rRNA from 1 species
AAGCUUGUAAACUUAGUGGCGGACGGGUGAGUAACACGUGAGCAACCUGCCUAUCAGAGGGGGACAACAGUUGGAAACGACUGCUAAUACCGCAUGACACAUAGAGAUCGCAUGGUCGAGAUGCCAAAGAUUUAUUGCUGAAAGAUGGGCUCGCGUCUGAUUAGAUAGUUGGUGAGGUAACGGCCCACCAAGUCGACGAUCAGUAGCCGGACUGAGAGGUUGAACGGCCACAUUGGAACUGAGAUACGGUCCAGACUCC